AAAGAUUAAAGUAGCAGCGAAGCAAGAAGUGUCUCUGGCAGCAUUAAAAGGACAACCCUUGACCUCAGGAGCAAGACUGGUGAACCUUCAUUGUACUCCCUCUUUGGCAAUAAUGUCUUCCCUGAGGUAUAUGUUUCACAAGAACACUAGACCCAGGACAGUUCCUGUAUGGGCAGUCACCUGGACUCAAUGUCAUCCUGCCCACUUUCCUCAGGACUGGUGCUCGUGACCACAGGCUGGAACCCAUUUCAAACAUCAUGUUGGAUCAGAAGAAGAUGCAAUUAAAGCAUUUGUGAAUGAAAAAGAAUCGUCUCAUAAAUUAAGGAAACAAAGCAAUAAGCAACAAGGUCAUUAAUGCUGUGGAAUAAAAGAA